rnacentral:rRNA from 1 species
UACAGAGGGUGCGAGCGUUAUUCGGAAUUACUGGGCGUAAAGCGUGCGUAGACGGUUAUUUAAGUCGGAUGUGAAAGCCCCGGGCUCAACCUGGGAAUUGCAUUCGAGACUGAAUAGCUAGGGUGCGGUAGAGGGAAGCGGAAUUUCCGGUGUAGCGGUGAAAUGCGUAGAUAUCGGAAGGAACAUCAGUGGCGAAAGCGGCUUCCUGGACCAUCACCGACGUUCAGGCACGAAAGCGUGGGGAGCAAACAGG